rnacentral:rRNA from 1 species
UAGGGAAUCUUCCACAAUGGGGCGAAAGCCUGAUGGAGCAACGCCGCGUGAGUGAAGAAGGAUUUCGGUUCGUAAAACUCUGUUGUAAGGGAAGAACAAGUAGCGUAGUAACUGGCGCUACCUUGACGGUACCUUAUUAGAAAGCCACGGCUAACUACGUGCCAGCAGCCGCGGUAAUACGUAGGUGGCAAGCGUUGUCCGGAAUUAUUGGGCGUAAAGCGCGCGCAGGCGGUCCUUUAAGUCUGAUGUGAAAGCCCACGGCUCAACCGUGGAGGGUCAUUGGAAACUGGGGGACUUGAGUGCAGAAGAGGAAAGUGGAAUUCCAAGUGUAGCGGUGAAAUGCGUAGAGAUUUGGAGGAACACCAGUGGCGAAGGCGACUUUCUGGUCUGUAACUGACGCUG